GUUCUGCAUUGUGAUUGCUCUUAGUCCUAUGGUGCAGAGGAGAAAGGCCUGGCAGUCCCAGUAUCGCUGAGGAGUUGCCUCAGUGAACAUUGUACAGUUACAGGUUAGGGAUGAGAAUAGUCUCACUGAAGGGAGGGACGCACUGAUUCUGCAUGAUCACCCAGCAGUGACAUAAGUCUAACUGUGCUGUAAAGUACAUGCCCCUUGCUCCAAAAAGCUCCAUUUUGCCAGCCUAAUUUAAGAAAGAGGGAAUAAGAAAUCUAAGAUUUAUAAUGAAAGGAAAAAGGAUACCUGCCAUCAAAAGCUCUGAAUAUAUUUAAUUUUAUCUGACCUUACAGGUAAGAAUUGAGCUAAAUUAGUACUACUUGGGAUUUUGGCACUGCCUAGAAGGUAUUUCCUUAGAAAUGAAAGUUCAUAUACAGAAUAGCAGGAAAAUUCAACAAAAAGUUCAUGAGACCGGAUGCAAGAUUGCAAGUCUGUCUGUAACUUACUUUGUGAUGGCGUGAAUCAUUUAUUCUUUCAUGUCCCAAAUUUCCCCAACUCUUAAACCACAUUAAGGAGCGUCUAGUGCCAGACUACCACCUUAACCCCAGGCCCAGAGGAAGAAUUGAAAACAUCUUUCCCUAAGGACCAGAUGGCUUUCUGUUUCCUUUCACAGAUGCACCUGCUCUUUGUCUUCCUGGCCUGUUUUGCUUCAGUGAGGAUGAGGAGUCUGCACAACAUCUCUUGGGAAUGAGAAGACAUAAAUUAAAGGAGAUUCUGGAUAUCAUGUAAGAAAGGAAGCCCAGAACACUGGCUAGAAAAAAACAAGUUUAUUUGGAUCCUUAGCAGCACUGUUGUCACCUCUAAGGCAUUAGUAGCUGAAAAGGGUUCAUCAGCACCACCUGGAGGAGAAUAUGAGCAAUGCAUUGAGAAAGUUAAUUCGCUGCUGAGAAAAUGGGGAGUUUAAUUUCAUGCAGACUUCAUUCAUUCUGAAAUACCUACUCCUUUCAGCUAUGGGAUGCAGCAAUGAGGAAAACUCAGAAUUCUUGUCCCCUGGGAACUUACACUUUAUGGAGUAAGACAAUCAGACACACAGUCUUCAUGAGGCCACAUAUGCUGAGGAAGAGAAGAGACUUAUAGAUGUGCUACUUAGAGAGGUACAGUUCAUUAGGAACCUGAAUGUGGCAAGGAAGAGAACUAUGUGAACAUCCAGGGAAAGUAAACGCUAGACAUGAGGAAUAAUGCAGAAAGGUCUUUGAUGAGACAUCCUUGUUUUUGUUUUUGUUUUGUAUUUAAUAUAACACUAGUAAUCUGUAUAGCUGGAACAAAGUGGGCAAAGGUGAGGAGAAUAGUAGAUUAAGUUGAAGAGGCAUCUGGGGCCAAAAUUGUGUAGAUUAGGGAAACAACCCAGAAGGUAAGGAAACUCAGUUUCUCUGAGGCCAAAAGGAGAAAUAAUGUUCAGAGGUAGAGAUGGGCUGCUAGCAGUCGACUUUCAAAGGGGUUGAAAGUAGAAACCCUACUUGGAUAUGCCAGUGGAAAGAAGCCCAUGGAUAUAGUAAAUCUGUACUUAUUUACCUUGACCUAGUGUGUUAUCUUGUACUGCAGAAGCUGGGGAGCUAAACCUUCAUGUCUUAGAUUUCCACUCUGAAUUUGCUAAUUGGAUAUACAAAUGAGAUGUAGAAGGAAGAAAGGUUUAGGCAUUAUGUUUAGCUGUAUUGGUUAUUGCUCCUGCAAGGUUUAUAGACUUUAGGUUUCUCUUUAAUGGUAUUCCAGUGUCUGUUAGGUAUCCCUUCAAGACACCUGAGAGGUGUCUUGAUCCAGACAGCAGCUUGUGACAUGUGUUCCUGUGGUCAAUGUGUGUGCCUCCUGAUUCCUUCUUUCCCUGUUAGUGCUACAGGUGGCAACUCUCAUGGUAGGCCAAGUCUGGAAGUCUUCUAGAAGCCCAGCCUAUAGCGCUCUCGGCCAGGCUUCCCAGCUCUUUUGUAAUCAUCUCAUCUGCCUACAUUGAGUCCUUUUCUACUUAAAAUUGAUGGGGGAGUUUUGUUUUCUGUAUACUCUUGGUUCUAAAAUAGGCUACUGGCAACAAGUCCUUUUAGAUUACUUAUGACUAAAUUGGGUUUGAAAGAAAUGAGGAUCUUGUUGCCUUUGGAAAAUGGUAAACCGGUAGGCAAAGGUUUGUAUCUGUGAUCACCUAAGAUGCAACAUCCUUUGGAGGAAAGACUGGCAGAUCCAGUAGCUGUAAGAAAUAAACCAUUGGGCUGGGGAUUUAGCUCAGUGGUUUAGCCACCUGCUGCGCAAGCACAAGGACCUGAGUUCGAUCCCUGGUACCAAAAAAAAAAAAAAGAAAAGAAAUAAACCAUCAUGUAAGAAACGAGGAUU